UACGUAGGGUGCAAGCGUUGUCCGGAAUUAUUGGGCGUAAAGAGCUCGUAGGCGGUUUGUCGCGUCUGCUGUGAAAACUCGGGGCUUAACUCCGGGCCUGCAGUGGGUACGGGCAGACUAGAGUGCGGUAGGGGAGACUGGAAUUCCUGGUGUAGCGGUGAAAUGCGCAGAUAAUCAGGAGGAACACCGGUGGCGAAGGCGGGUCUCUGGGCCGUAACUGACGCUGAGGAGCGAAAGCGUGGGGAGCGAACAGG
rnacentral:rRNA from 1 species